GCAAGAAUCCACAACACUCAACAACUACCCUCAUCCGAGUUUCACUCCAUCAGCCAUCAUGUCUGACUACAAGCCCACUGAGCACGGCGGUCUCCGUCAGGACGGCCAGCCCGACAAGCGCGUCGGCACCGGCGAGUUCGCAGGCGGCAAGGUUGACCCCCAUGAGGCUGGCAAGAAGGGCGGCGAGACUGGCGGCGCGGCUGGUGAUUCCUCCAGCGGCGGUGACAGCGGCAGCUCUGGCAAGGGUCAGUUCGCUGGCGGAAAGGUUGACCCGGUCGAGGCUGGUCGCAAGGGCGGCAACUCUUAAGUCUGGAAGACUUCACGCAAUGACGGCUCGAGCUGGGAAUGUGCUCGCUGCAUAGUUGAUAGUUGGACGCACG
rnacentral:misc_RNA from 1 species